GAUAUAAUAAAGAAAUAAAGAGAAAUAAUAAAGCAUACCACAAACACAAGGAUUUAUAGUGGUUCGGUGCCAACCUUGCACCUACAUCCACUCCCCAAGCUCCUACUUGGGAAUUCCAAUCCACUAUACUUGUAUUCAAUCCGAAUACAAACGUCAGAAACUCCGACACUAGCUAUCCCAAGCUAGUCCACUUGUUUCCCGGGUACAAACCAACCCAAAAUACUCCGAUUUCAGGUUCGGAUCAACCUUCCCUUGUUUUGGAAACCCUCCAAAAACAAGAACAAUUACUCACAAAGAGUAAGACA
rnacentral:lncRNA from 1 species